UACGUAGGGGGCAAGCGUUGUCCGGAUUUAUUGGGCGUAAAGAGCGUGUAGGCGGCCAGAUAGGUCGGUUGUGAAAACUGGAGGCUCAACCUCCAGACGUCGACCGAAACCAUCUGGCUAGAGUCCGGAAGAGGAGAGUGGAAUUCCUGGUGUAGCGGUGAAAUGCGCAGAUAUCAGGAAGAACACCAAAGGCGAAAGCGCUCUGCUGGGCCGAAACUGACACUGAGAGACGAAAGCUAGGGGAGCGAAUGGG
rnacentral:rRNA from 1 species